CAUAGGUUAAUGAGGCGAACCGGGGGAACUGAAACAUCUAAGUACCCCGAGGAAAAGAAAUCAACCGAGAUUCCCCCAGUAGCGGCGAGCGAACGGGGAGGAGCCCAGAGCCUGAAUCAGCAUGUGUGUUAGUGGAAGCGUCUGGAAAGGCGCGCGAUACAGGGUGACAGCCCCGUACACAAAAGCGCAUGUGCUGUGAGCUCGAUGAGUAGGGCGGGACACGUGGUAUCCUGUCUGAAUAUGGGGGGACCAUCCUCCAAGGCUAAAUACUCCUGACUGACCGAUAGUGAACCAGUACCGUGAGGGAAAGGCGAAAAGAACCCCGGCGAGGGGAGUGAAAAAGAACCUGAAACCGUGUACGUACAAGCAGUGGGAGCCCCACCACUAAGCCAGUGGUGAACUCCACAUACGCAUCCUUUGCUGAGGAUACGGUUAACGGAGCGAAAGCGACGUUCAACCUCAAAAGAAGCAGAGGGGGCUUAG
rnacentral:rRNA from 1 species